UCGCUGCUAUUAGGAUUCGAUUUAGCCAUGCAAGUCCGGGGGUUCGCAAGAACACCGGCGGAAUGCUCAGUAACACGUCGAUAAUCUAACCUUUAGUUCAGGAUAACCUUGGGAAACUGAGGCUAAAACUGGAUAAGGGAUUGCAACUGGAAUGUGCUUUCCCUGAAACUACGGGCUAAAGGAUGAGUCGGCGGCCGAUUAGGUUGUUGGUGGUGUAAUGGACCACCAAGCCAUAGAUCGGUAGGGGCCUUGAGAGAGGAAGCCCCGAGAAGGGCACUGAGACACUGGCCCUAGCCCUACGGGGUGCAGCAGGCGCGAAACCUUUACACUACACGAAAGUGUGAUAAGGGAAUCCUAAGUGCUUAUGCAAUGCAUAGGCUUUUGCCAAGAGUAAAUUCUUGGCGAAUAAGUGGUGGGCAAGACUGGUGCCAGCCGCCCGGUAACACCAGCGCCACAAGUGGGGAUCGUGUUUAUUGGGCCUAAAGCGUUCGUAGCCGGUUCAAUCAAUCCUUUGUGAAAUCGAUAGGCUUAACUUAUCGGCAUGCAUAGGACACUGAUGAACUAGGAACUGGGAGGGGUCAGAGGUAUGCUUGGGGGAGCAGUAAAAUGCUAUAAUCCCUUGUGGACCACCUGUGGCGAAGGCGUCUGACCAGCACAGAUUCGACGGUGAGGAACGAAAGCCGGGGGAGCGAUCCGGAUUAGAUACCCGAGUAGUCCCGGCUGUAAACGCUGCGAGCAAGGUGUUACAUAUUCCUCGUGAAUGUGCAGUGUCGAAACGAAGGUGUUAAGCUCGCCGCCUGGGAAGUACGGUCGCAAGACUGAAACUUAAAGGAAUUGGCGGGGGAGCACUACAAGGGGUGCGGCGUGCGGUUUAAUUUAAUUCAACGCAGAGAAUCUCACCAGGAGCGACGGCAGAAUGAAGGCCAGGCUGAAGACCUUGCCUAACAAGCCGAGAGAUGGUGCAUGGCCGCCGUCAGCUCGUGCUGUGAAGUGUCCUGUUAAGUCAGGCAACGAGCGAGACCUGCACUUACAAUUGCUAACGAGCUCUUCGGAGUGAUUGAGCACAUUGUGAGGACUGCCUUGGAAACAAGGAGGAAGGUGCAGGCAACGGUAGGUCUGUAUGCCUCGAAUCCCCUGGGCUACACGCGCGCAACAUUGGUAGGGACAAUGGGAUGCAACUCCGAAAGGAGAAGCUAAACCUCUAAACCCUAUCUUAGUCCAGAUCGAGGGUUGUAACUCACCCUCGUGACGUUGGAAUCCCUAGUAAUCAGACUUCAUCAUAGUCUGGUGAAUAUGUCCCUGCUCCUUGCACACACCGCCCGUCAAACCACUCGAGCAGGGUUUAAGUGAGGUGCAGUUUGAUUGAUUGCAUCGAACUUAAGCUCAGUGAGAUGGGUUAAGUCGUCACAAGGUA
rnacentral:rRNA from 1 species